AGUGAACGCUGGCGGUAUGCCUAACACAUGCAAGUCGAACGGCAGCACAGUAAGAGCUUGCUCUUACGGUUGGCGAGGGGCGGACGGGUGAGGAAUACAUCGGAAUCUACUUUUUCGGGGGGGAUAACGUAGGGAAACUUACGCUAAUACCGCAUACUACCUACGGGUUAAAGCAGGGGAUCUUCGGACCUUUCGCGAUUGAAUGAGCCGAUGUCGGAUUAGCUAGUUGGCGGGGUAAGGGCCCACCAAGGCGACGAUCCGUAGCAGGUCUGAGAGGAUGAUCAGCCACACUGGAACUGAGACACGGUCCAGACUCCUACGGGAGGCAGCAGUGGGGAAUAUUGGACAAUGGGCGCAAGCCUGAUCCAGCCAUACCGCGUGGGUGAAGAAGGCCUUCGGGUUGUAAAGCCCUUUUGUUGGGAAAGAAAAGCAGCAGGUUAAUACCCAGCUGUUCUGACGGUACCCAAAGAAUAAGCACCGGCUAACUUCGUG
rnacentral:rRNA from 1 species